rnacentral:lncRNA from 1 species
GUGGAAGCUGAGCAGAGGAUGAGAGCAACCAAUGUGAGCCGGGACACCAGUGCUGCUAAAUGGGAAUGUGUCCAUAGCAUCACCCCUCUUUUCUGGCUAGAUUUGCUAAGUGUCAAUUGCAAUGACUUCAAGUUGAAGCACAGCACUUCUAAUGGAUUGUGUGACCUUUCCACAACCUCACUGAACAGCACCGAUGAAAUUUCCAGGCAAGCUAAUUAAUACACUGGUACAGCACCAGGCGGGUGAACCUCUAGCAGCUUAACUCUCAGCCGAGA